GCGCUGCCAGGAAACUUCAAAAUAUGGAAAGAUUGGUGUACUAUCUGGAGAAGUCAGCUCCACUUUAUAUUAGUACAAGCUGUGUUAAAAUUCAGCUUGGAUAGUCUUGUAAGAGUCCAUUAAGCGUGGCAAUAGCUGCCGGUGUUGACGGACUGCCUACUCUGCUGAAGUUGGCACACGUUAUGGCUGCAAAGAAGCAGGAGUGGCAAUCUAUGAAGAAACUACCAGUGCCAGUAGAAUUAAGAAAGGAAUUCUAGUUUCAUUCGGUUUUCGUCUGUCCAGUGAGCAGGGAUCAUGUGAAUGAAGAGAAUCCUCCCAUGUCGUUGCCUUGUGGACAUGUCCUAUGUAAGCAGUCUAUUCAUAAAUUGUCAAACAACGGCACACCGGCCUUCAAGUGCCCCUACUCCCCUUUUGAUGCUAUAGUUUCACAGUGCAAGCAACUCUAUUUUUUAUGUUUGUAAAACCAUUUCUCUUUACACAGAUUUGUUUGAUGAAAUCUUCACUGCUUUAGCAUUUUUACUUGAAAUAGAAAGUGUGUUGAUGUGUACAGAGGUUUUCUUUAAUUUACAAGGUCAUGUUUGGUUUCUCA